AUAAAAAAAUCGCUCUCAUAACCCUCCCCUCUUCCCGUGCAACUGUAUCGAUCGAUCCUUAUCCUCUCCCAAACACAGAUAGCCACACAGGGAUCCUUAUCCUUAUCCUCUUCUCUUUCAAUCACUCCCCCCCUCUCUCUCUCUCUCCCUCCCAACCCUUUCUCUCUUCAUCGGCGGAGGGCACUGGCGCCGGCGGGUGCGCGGGCCGUAGGGGGAGGCGGCACCGGCAGGUGCGAAGGCCGAAGGCGGAGGUGGCCCGGGCGGGUGCUGGGGCCGGAUGUGGAGGCGGCACCGGCGUCGGCGCCAGUUGGAGGCCAGGAGCUCGGGGUUGCCGCCUCCUUCGCCGGAGAUAAGGUCGGCCUCUCUCUGUCCCUUUCUCCAAUUCUCUCGACUUCUCCUCUCUCUCUCUCUCUCUCUCCUUCUCUCUCUUUGUGCAGCGGCGGCCCCAUCGAGCCAAAGAUGAAGACAACGCCACUGCCCAACGCCAUCGACAAGCCCCGCCAUCCAUCGCUGCUUAUCUCCAGUCGACGACGAGCUUCUGCAUCCCCACCUGGCCUCCCCUUGACAGCCCCAGCAACCAUGAACCCGGGGGCUCUAGAUCCGGACACCCUGAACUCGAAGGUCGCGGAUCCAGCCAUCCCGAGUUUGGGUGCUCCAGAUCCGUCCGCGAGGAAAGCAGUCCGCCGUCCACACCACUCCGCGUCGUCGAGGUCAACCUGCCGAGGGGAGAGCAGGCGUCGGCUAUCCCCUUCCACCCCAUCGUCGGAGGCGCGCGGCCGGCUGGCGACGAGGCGAGCGGCAAAGCGGCAACUGGGCAGGCGGGGUGAGGCGGCGACCGGGCGUGGCGGCGGCGAGGAGUGGCUGUCCCCCUCCUAGAUCCGGCGGCGGCAGUUGACCCCCGCCCGGAUCUGGCGGUGGUGGCGGCCGGCGCGACUGUAGGCCAAGUCGGCGGCGGUGUCCACGAUGUUGCUCAUGCCCGGAGUUGAUGUCGCACCGGACGUGAGGGAGGAGGAGGAGGAGGUGGUGGUGGCAGCGGUUGCGGCUGCGGCUAUCGGCUGGAGCGGGACUGCGCGGCUGCGGAGCGCAUGGGGCAGGACCAGCUGUAGGACGUCGAUGACGUCGUGCACCACGGCGGCGGUGACCUUGCCGCCGACCUGCCGGUGGCGAGGAAAGACUCGCCGCAGCGGCUGGUUGCGUGCGGGCCGGCGGGCGGGCGGCGAUUUUCGCUUUUUUUUUAUAUUUUUGGUUUUUUUUUUGUUCCGUAUGGGCGGUAUAAUUUGACCGCACGGGAUAAUCGAUUAUCCCGUGCGGUCCACUUAACCCGACCGCAUGGGAAAAUGAUUAUCCCGUGUGGUUGUGACGUCCACACGCGAAAAUAUUGAUUUUUCCAUACGCUUGGGUGCAGACGGGCAAAUCCUCCACAUGGGAAAAUUAUUUUGACCGCACGGAAAAAUGUUUUUUUCCUAGUAGUGUACGUUGUUCACAAAAUCACCUAGAGUUCCUCUUUUUCUCUACCAGUAAAUCUAUUUCCUUGUCACCAUAGCUGACAUGGCUGGUUGCAUUGUUGUGGAAAUCUCAUCUCUACUCAUAUUCACGAGACUCAAACACCAGCAUUAGCACCUAGGUUGUAUGUGGUUUUCAAAUUGAUUAAUCUUUGGUUGGAAGGAGACCAGCUUGGUUAGCUUCGCUGACCUUAAAUAUAUAUUAUCUUCUCUCCCCCGUGAGCAGUUGCUCUUUUGAUUUACGAGAAAAUCGCUUCUGUACCUCUAAAAUUUAUUUUAGUUAAUCUUUUCUAUGCCCCUAAAUUUAAUUUGCUUACUUUUUGUAUAACCCAAAAUUUAAUUUUAAUCCCUUCCAUAAAUACCCCUUCCGUCAGUUGACCGUUAGUGACCGUCUAAUUUCUAUAAAGAUGAUCAUUUUACACUUUGGAUGAACAUAGAAAUUCAUGAAUUACAUUAUUCAAAAUGUAAAAGUUUGUCGCAUAAGACUAUUAUAGUUAUGAGUGAGUAUUCAGGGUUAUAAAAGGGAUUGAGUGAGUUUUCAGGGGUAUAUAGGGUGUUUACUCUUGAUUCAUAUCGCAAGAUCUCCUGGAGUGUCCAAGGGCGAGACUAUGUGUGAAGGUGAGGUAACAGGAGAAAUAAGAUGAAACAAAUGAAAAGCUAAUAACAACUGCAGAAGCAAGCAAGCAGGGAAAGUAAACCAUGGCCAAAUACAAAGGGGCUCACGUUGGAGAAUAAAGGUAGGAGUAUAGCAGUUAUGAGUUUCUUCACAUAGUAUUUGUGAUAUAUAAGCUACACUAAGGUAGCAGUGUGUAGUUGGUUUAAAAGUUAUAUUUGUUGAUUUUAAAUUCAAAUUUUAGGACUCAUCUUGACUAGGUAUUUUAAAGAAACAAUCUCUAGGAUUUAUAUAUCUAUUGUCUUUAUUUACUCAUAUGUAAUAGACAUCAUUAACCAACUAGAAGGAGAAGUAGCUUAAUGGUACAAAUAAAAA